GCCUUUGUAGUGUAAUUGAUAUCACGACAGCCUUAUGAGCUGUUAAUACAGGUUUAACUCCUGGACAAGGUA